rnacentral:rRNA from 1 species
AACGAACGCUGGCGGCAUGCCUAACACAUGCAAGUCGAACGAGACCUUCGGGCCUAGUGGCGCACGGGUGCGUAACGCGUGGGAACCUGCCCUUAGGUUCGGAAUAACUCCCCGUAAGGGGUGCUAAUACCGGUUAAUGUCUUCGGACCAAAGAUUUAUCGCCUUGGGAUGGGCCCGCGUUGGAUUAGCCAGUUGGUAGGGUAAAAGCCUGCCAAGGCGACGAUCCAUAGCUGGUCUGAGAGGAUGAUCAGCCACACUGGGACUGAGACACGGCCCAGGCUCGGAGGGAGGGCAGCAGUGGGGAAUAUUGGACGAUGGACGAAAGCCUGAUCCAGCCGUGCCGCGUGAGUGGUGAAGGCGUUAGGGUUGUAAAGCUCUUUUAGCCGGGAUGAUAAUGACAGUACCGGGAGAAUAAGCUCCGGCUAACUACGUG